UAUAUAUAUAUAUAUAUAUAUAUAUAUAUAUAUAUUACAGCCAUGACCAUUAGCCAAGUAGCUACAAAUAAAACAUUUUUGGGAAAAAAAAUUUUUGGAACCAACCCACCUUAGCGUGUGUGUAAAAAUAUGUGGCAGUUUAGACUUAAUUCCAGGAACAUCUCUGUAUUAUAGCUGUAGUGCCUAAAUCUGUUAGCUCUGGUAUUUGGAGAGCCUUUAAAAGUCUAUACGUGUCUUUGUCAGUCUGUAACUUACCUCCUCUGGGCUUGUGAAAGUGUAAAGGCUGCAUACAUAAUGCAAAACUCAGUCCUUUCAGUCCCUCUCCCAGCAGCAAAUUCACUCUCCAAGAUGCUCAUGACUCAUUUUCCUUUCUCUUCCCUGCUCAGAGUUCUGAUAACAAACAGGAAGCACAGGGGAACAGAUAAUAAAAUAGGAAAUCCAACGGUGGCUCCAUAAUACUUAUGAGAGCCUACAGUGUGCUAGAAACCUAGCUCAGGGCUUCUCAACGUGGCUGCCCACUGCUUGCACCGGGGCAGCUUUAACUAUGACUGAAGCCAGGAUCCCACUCAGAGAUGCUGAUGUAAUUGGUGUGGGGUGUGGCCCAGCCUCAGGAAUUCAGAGAGCUCCUCAAGUAUUUCUAGAGUGUGGCCAGGGUUGGGGACCUCUGCUCUAGACACACAGUGGUGGUCGAGAUAGACCCGGGGUUGGAAAUGGUCACAAGCUGUUAGCUAGGACGUGCCCCAUCCAAACUUUGUACUUGCUCAGAUGUUUCAAACAGGCAGCUUCUCAGCCAAAAUAAAUAAAUAAUUUUAAAAGUUAUUUUUUAAAAAAAGGGACUUCCCUGAUGGCACAGUGGUUAAGAAUCCGCCUGCCAAUGCAGGGGACACGGGUUCGAGCACUGGUCCGGGAAGAUCCCACAUGCCACGGAGCAACUAAGCCCAUGUGCCACAACUACUGAAGCCCGCGCACCUAGAGCCUGUGCUCUGCAACAAGAGAAGCCACUGCAAUGAGAAGCCCGCGCACCGCAACGAAGAGUAGCUCCCACUCGCCACAGCUAGAGAAAGCCUGCGCGCAGCAGCAAAGACCCAAUGCAGUCGAAAAUAAUUAAUUUUUUUUAAAAGUUAUUAAAAGACAGCAGCUUGAGAGGAGGUUUGAAAUAGGACAGCCUGUUCUGUCAGGUCCCAGAACGUAUAUUUAUUAAGUGCCAUUAAAAGGGACCUGAAGAGGGGCUUCCCUGGUGGUGCAGUGGUUGAGUCUGCCAGCCGAUGCAGGGGACACGGGUUCGUGCCCCGGUCUGGGAAGAUACCACAUGCCGCGGAGCAGCUAGGCCCAUGAGCCAUGGCUGCUGAGCCUGCGCAUCCGGAGCCUGUGCUCCGCAAUGGGAGAGGCCACAACAGUGAGAGGCCCGCGUACUACAAAAAAAAAAAAAAAAAAAAAAGGACCUGAACAAAACUGGAUAUUCUUGUAGGCAUAAGGGAGAAAACUGAAAUAUUCUUGGAACCAAAUCUAUCUCAUGAGGAAAAAUAACAAUGUAUUCAGUAGCACGUGGGUAAUGGUUUCUCCUAGGGGAUGAGAUUAAAAGUCACUGAAGGGUGAGAAAAUGCAUAAUUGAGAAGAUGGAGAAUGGCCUGAAUUUUCUCCAGGGGACUCUGUGUAAUGUGCCUUUCCCCCUCCAAAUACCUAGAACCAUUGCCCUGUGACUUAUGUAUUUCAGUGCUGGACUGUCACAUAUUAGACUUACAAAGGUAUUUGUCUGUGAAUUGAACAAGACUUCCAGGAGGUGAAGACUGAUUCACAAGGGUGACCCUUGCUCCCUGCAACAGAGUGAGACCUCUUUAAUCUCUUGGGCUCCAACCUAGUUUUAGACAUGAGGACAAGAUUACAAUAUCAAAGGAAAGAUGAGCGAAUUCUUGGUUAAUGUGGUGAGUCUAGCUUGGUGAAUAACUGAUGUCAACUACUGGGAAUAAAGGACUUGAAGAUGAAAUGCCGCUGAAAUUUGUGUGACUCUAACCAUUGGAUGGUCAGAUGCCCCAGUGUGGCAUUUGUUCACUAGAUACUUGCCAUAUAUAAAAAUGGCACCUCCUUUAUUCAUGUGUUCAUUUAGUGAGUGUCUACUGCACAUCUUUGGUGCCUCCAGGAUUUGGCCUUAGCUGCUGGGGAUGUAGUGAGAAGUCAGAGAGACCGGGACCCUGCCCUCCCAAAGCCCACAGUUUGAUGAGGGAGGCAGACAAGGCAACAGUUAAACACAGUGUUAAUUGUUAGGAUAGGGUGAUAACAGGUGCCACCAGAGCCCAGGGGAGAGGCCAGCCCCUGACUCAGACUUGGUGGCUAAGGAGGGCUUCCUGGAAGAAGUGAUAUCCAAGCUGAUGGGUAACAGGUUAGAUGAAGGUGGGAGGGAGGGCACAUGAAAAGGCCCAGAGUUAAGAGCAAGCACAGCUCAUCAGGGAACUAAAAUGCUAUAGAGCUGGAACACAGGGUGUGCGUAAGGGUGGUGGGUACAGUGCGAGAUGGCUUAGUGAGGUCUGCCUGGUAAGGAGCUUUGGGGUUUAUUCUGAGGGCAGUGGUGGGGGACACUAAAGGGUUUCAAGCAGAGGAGUGACACGCCCAGAGUUGUGUUUUAGGAUGCAAGUUCUGGUUUAUCCUGGAAUCUCCCUAAGCAUCUGUCAUAUGCCUCAAGUAAUAGAUGUUCAAUACACGUUGCUCAGAUAAACAGCCCAGAUGGGAUGGGAACACUGAAACCUACUUCCAAGGAAUCUCCCAUCCAGCUGUAAAAGACAGACAAGCACCUGGCACCACAAGGCAGGAUGCUGUCAGCCCCAGAAGGGUGCUAUUUACCAGGCUCAUAGGUGUUCAGACAAGGAGGAGCUUUGGGGUCGCUGAGGUGGUCAGGGAGGCUUCCUGGAGGAAGUGGGGCAGGUGCUGGCUUUGUGGGAUAAGUAGGGUUGGGGGAAGCAAAAGGGAAGGGGAAGCCUUCUCAGGCCCAGGGAGGCAGUGUAAUGGUAUGAGAAGUGCCCAGCACUUGACCUUAAAACCCCUGAGUUCAAGGCCCGCUUGGCCAUAGGCAAGUAGCAGACUCAUUUAUUGUGGUUUCUGCAUGUGGGGAAGUUUGGUGAGGGCCCCCAGCCUGCGUUGUCCUCCCUAUUCAGCCCAAAAAAUACUCACUGUAGAAUUCUGUCUUUUCUCAAGGAGUCGCUGGCUUCCUCCACCAGGACCUACCUUCCAGCGUGGAAAAGUCAUUUUAGGAUCUGUUGUGGUAGGGCAGAGACUCAAAUACCUGGACUGGUGGGUAAGGAAAGAACUGGAUUCCACUCCUGGCAACAUCCCGAGGAGCUGGGUUCCUUAACAAUCCACUCACUUAACCUUGUUCUUCUGUUUUAUUAUCAGUAAUUUUUGAACUUAUGUUUUCUGUUUUUCUCAUCUGUAAAAUGGGUACAAUUCCUGUUCUGACAGGGUGAGUGAGAGGAUUAAAUGAAACACUUGUGAAUGGUGGCGGAUCACAACAGGAGCAUCACGGCUGUGCAGGGAGGAAAUAUGUGAACUCUGACCACUAGGUGGCAGCAGGGCUCUAGGAAUCACCUGAGAUUGGGCUGGGAGGCACCACCUCAGCAAAUUGAAACGCCCAGGGUGCUGGGCAGGUGGUUCAAAUGAGAGGAAGGGCCAGGUGAAAGACAUUAGGGAGUGGCAGGGACUGUGGUGGACCACAGCAUACAUAUUCCAUCUAAGGAGCUUGCAGCUUCUUGGCUUCAACCAGUGUUGCCACAUCAGAAUGAGGGCCCAGUGGUGCCAGAGAUUCUGAUUUUUCAAGAGAAGCCAGAAACCAGGGUUUUGUUUUGAUUUUUGAUGUGAAAUCUGUGUGGAGAUUGUGUGGGUCACAACAGGUCCCCCUUUUUGCAUCUUCUGCCACAGAGUGUGGGUUGGCUGCCCUGGUAGAGAAUCUCCUCUGAAGAAUUAGCUUCACAUCUGUUUUCUGUGAAAUGCCGUCAUGUGUCUCCACUUCACUCACUACUUCAUUAGAUGUUAAUUUUCCUUCCUUGGAUCUCUGGGGAGAACUGUUUCGUUUUCUGCUAUUGUAACUAUUGUUGUCAUCAAACAUUUAUUCAAUCGUGGGCCAUAUUUUCUGACCACCCAUGAGGCUCUCCAUAGUACCUAUUUCACAAGGUUCUUUUGAGGAAUAAAUGAGGUACUGAUAUAAUAUCGCUUAGCCCAGCACCUGGCUCAUUAGCACUCAAUAAAUAUUAUUAUGGGGACUUUAGAAAAGAUGGCAUGACAUUUGGAGGAGGGUUUGCAGGGCCUGCCUUUCUCUCUAUAUUUGGGAUGGUGACAAGGCCUGGCUACUCCCUUAUGUAGAUGAAGCCCCCUGGUUCCGGCUCCUGAGGGCCUAGUAGAGGUUGGAUACAGCCCUUCCCUCAGAGGCUGCUGUCACACCCCAAAAGCAUUCCUGGGACUUUCCCUUGUCCGGUUCCCUGGUGCUGCGUCUGGGUCAGGGUGGGCAGAUUUCCCCAUCCAGGGCAAUCCCAACCUUGGGCAGGAGUGGCCCAGAUUCUCCUGCCUCUCCCCAGCGAGAGGGCUUUCUGCAGUCCAUUGCACCCGGACAAGUCAGGCAGGUACUCAGGCAAUAAUCAGGCAUGCAGAUGCGCUGGAGCAGCAACUCUGGUCAGAGGCUCAGGGCCCUUUACAUCCAGGAGCAUCUUCUCAGGGUGUUCCAAGGGGACCCAGCAGCUUUGGGGACAACGACUCCUUGCUGGAGGCUCCACUGGCAGAUUCAGGAACAAGGAGAGGGUGAGAUCAGAUUUGUCCUUGAGGGCUCUGACUUAUGCUGGGCUCAGGAGCACCAGCUAAUGCUGUUCAGUUAGGUCUCAGGCCACCACCAUGCUUCCAGGAUACCUCAGGGUGGUUCUGGGUUCCCUGUUUGGGACCCAUUUGCCUGUCUUCAGGGGUCUGGGCAUCCUUGAGGCCUGUGAGUAGAGAGAGAGCUCAGUGGCUGCAGGUUUGGGACAGCCCUGAGCCUUAGGAGGAUUGGGCCAGAGUGGGCAUAGGACUUGCAUCCACCCCUUCUGAGCAGCUCACAUCUCAGAGGUUGGUUAUUUGCUUGCUUGCUCUCACAUUUAUUCCCUGCCCAGCUCAGCUCUGUACUUCAGGGAACUACACUGCCCAGGCUCCUUUGUUCUCUGGUUUUCUGGUGGGUUUGUCCAAUGGGAGGCACUGGCAGGGGGAAGGAGGGGAGAACCCAAGGUAUUUCUCCCUCUCUCUGCUUCAGGCAGCAUCUCUGCCUUGGCUGGUCUUCUCCAUGGUUCCCACUUCCACUGGAUGGUCCUUCCCUCUUGGUCUUAGGUCCCGUUGGACAGGCCUGGCUAUACUUCCAGUUUCUGUAAGAUAGCUUCAGAUACUGGGCCUUAAUAAUGCUGCCUCUUCCCUGCGUUCCUCCAACCUAAAGACUAGAGUGUCUUUUUGCUGUUGUUAAUCCCUGUGGUGAUUCUAGGAUCUUCUUUCACCUGUGUAACUUCCUCCCUAAGUCCCUCUGUUCACAAGGCAUGGAGUGGUUCUCUCUCUGACUGGACAGUGACUCUUGUGCAGCUCAGCAGCUAGGGAUACAGGGAAGGAGUGGGUAGUAAAGCUGGGAGGCUCCUAGGUACCUCUGCCCCUCAGGCUGCCGAGCCCUCAGAGAAGAUUGGGACCAUCACCAGGUCUGCUGUACCUUCCCUGGGUCAGGGAACAGUCCAGCCCUCCCCACCCAGAUCUCUUGGAAGUGUCUUCAGCUAUAGACAGCAGCUGAGUGGGUCACGCUCCAGGGUCAGUGGCUGUGAGAAUCUGCCGAGCAGCCCUUGUUUGGGCCAACUGAAGCUGUUCUGCAGGGCCCAGAGAAGGACACAGAGGAGACCCAAGGGCCAUUGUGUGACAGCAGAGCCAGGCUGUGGGCAGGAGGAGAGGGUCGCCUCCUUCCAGCCACAGUGCCUCGAGUCUGGCCCUGGCUCAGGAGGGGUGGUGAGCCCCCGGUCAGUGAGACGGGAAGUGGAGAUGAGGCUUCUGGCCAGGAAAAAGCCUGCUUGUCUUGAUUCUGGGAUCUCUGAUUCCAGGCACAUCAGCAGAGCCUUUGGUCUGGGGAAAGGCUAGUGCACUACUAGCAAUCACCACAGCUUCUGUUCACUUCUCACAGGGCUUUUUGAGGGUUACGUGAGGAAAUCCACUUUACGUGAUUAAUCCAGUGCUGGCACAUAGGAAGCUCUCAAGACCUGCGAACUAAAGAAAAACAAACAAGAAAACACAAAUCGCAACAGCAACCAGGCACUGUGGACCUUAUUCUGUAGGAAUAAGCUGGUGUCUAGUUAGUACUGAGCCCCAGGCCUCUCCCCUGGAGCAGAGCUGGGGCUGGCAACACGGUUCCAGCUGCCAAGGCUAGGAAGAAGGCUGAGUCAGGUGAAGGAGUUGUGAGGUUGGGAGGUCACAGUGAUCUCAGGGCACACUCCCCAGAGACGUGGGGAUGAGCAGUAGGUGUCCAGAACCAUAAUGGGGCACUUGAGGACAGCUAUCACCUUGUGUCCAGGCAGGACAGAGAUCAAGGCUAGGUCAGAAAGCAGGCAGUAGGAUCCCAGUCUUUGGGUUGAGGUUCAAGUACUAGGCCCUGGGGACUUAAAGGUCAGGUCCACUAAAAAUACAAAGAUCCUGGCAAGAGGCAGGAUGGAGAGCUGGACACAGGGACUUCAUUUUGAGCCCUGGGGACCAGAGCUGCUGGAAAUCCUCCCAUCUGAUGACAGGAUUGAACCCAGGGAGCAAGAUGCGUUGGACGUGGGAGAGGGUCUGGGAUGAAGAGGCUGUGGUAAUCAGGAGCCCAGACUUCACAUUGCAAAACGUCCAAAUUCAAAUCCUGACUCCACACUCACCAGCUGUGUGACCUCGUUGAACAAGUUACUUCAUGUCUCUAAAACCUCACUUUCCUCUUUGUGGGUAAACCAGGAAAUAGUCGUACCUCAGAGGGCCGUUGGAAUGUGGAAAUGGGAUCACGCGUGGAGGUUUUGGCAGUCUAGGACAUAUGAGUGCUGCUUAAAUGAUUGAUCCUCAAAGACACAGCUAUUUUUGCUGGCUCCCACCUCCUCCAAUGUACUCCUCCUAAGCUUUGCCAGCAGUGACCCCAGCCCGAGUCUUCUCUGGGCUAACACUCCUUGUACUUUCAACCUUUGCUCUAACGUCUGUGUUCCUGACCCUUCACCACCUCAGGCUCUGAAAAAAUAGCCCCUCACUGCCUGAGCUCUUUCCAAACUGAAAGCAAGUGGAUGUCUUAAGAGGCCAAAGGUUGUUCCCCUGGGAAUGUAAUGUGACCACGUCCUCGGAUACUCCCUGGUGAUUAGAGCUCGCCAUCUUGAAUUACUUCAUCUUCAUCCUCCCAAGAAGCUUCUUCACAACCCCAGGCCAAGCAGUGGAAGACAGCCUUGCUGAUAUGCCUUUGUUUCUGCAACAUUAACUUCAUUCAAACCAAUGAGCAGCCCUGAGAUGUGCAUUGUGGAGGUUAUUUGCCUGAGGAGGGUUGUGGGGCUCAGAGAGCUCCAGCACCUUGCUCAAGAUCACACAGCAAGUUAAUGGCCAAGCUGGAAGCAAGGAUCAAGGCUCCGAACUUCCAGUGCACUGUUGGUUUUAUGAUUUUUAUUCUCCUUUACAAGAAGAGGAAGCCGUGCUUAGGGAAAUGAAGUCAUUGGCCUAAGGUCAAACAGAUGAGCCACUUACAGGUCAAGGCAGAGCUGAGACUGAACCAUGGAGGGAACUGACCCCAGAGAUGGUGCUCUUGGCCACAGCAGCUGUGCUUCCUACCUGAAGAGAGAUCAGGCUUCAGGCUCAGAGCCAUCAGGAGGCCUCAGUGUCUAGCUGGGAUUUGCUACGUUUCCUUGCAUUUAUAUCUGUGGCUGCCUUCCAUUUACAAUCACCCACUCUGUGCGAGGCCCUGUGUCAGACGCUGACGACACAAUGGCUGGGCAGCAGAGCAAGCCAAGAGGUUAAUCAGAGGAAGUUGUUCAGAAGACAAUUAACACCUUCUCUCCAACCAGCAGCUUAUUUGUAGGAACUGAAGCAAAGGGAUCAGGAGAGGCCUCUCUGAAAAUAUUCUAUCUGAGCAGCAACAUAAAGAAUGAGUAAGAACUGGCCGGCUGGAAACUGCAGCACAUCAAGCGGGUGGGCUGCUUGGCAGAGGAAAAAGCUUGGCAGGCCCCAAGAAUGGAAUAGAAGAGGAAAUCCAGGUUUAAUUUUGUUCAUUCUACCGUCGCACCUACUUCCACAGAAGAAAUCUUGGCUUCUGCUGUGAGAACCUUCUCAGGACUUCUGGGGGACAAUAAAGUCAGCAGAUUCGUGAUGAUCAGCUGCUCCUGAGCUGCGUAGAGCAACAGCCUCCGGACACGCAGGCUCAGCAGCCAUGGCUCACGGGCCCAGCCGCUCCACGGCAUGUGGGAUCUUCCCAGACCGGGGCACGAACCUGUGUCCCCUGCAUCGGCAGGCAGACUCUCAACCGCUGCGCCACCAGGGAAGCCCAAUAUAUAUUUUUUAUUAACACACAAGAUCUAGUUGGUCUAAUAGCUACUGUAAUUUCAAAAUAGUGAUGAACACAAAUGAUAUUCUGUGAUAUGAUAUGAAAUAUCUGUGAUUUCUAUUGGUGCCAAAGUUAUAGAAACUUUUAAUACCGCUGUGCUUUGUUUGCUACAUUCAUAAUAGAAGGAAAUGCUAAAUUUCAGUUUGAAGUUAGUAAAAAGGAUGUAAUUAUUUUCCAUUCAAAUUAAUGGUGUCUUGUUAAGAAACCUUGGUUUGGGCGUUGGGGGGGUUGCAUGAAACAGCUUGACUCCUGGAUUCAUAGGUGGGCAUGUAACCCAGUACUGACCAAUCAGAGCAGGGAUUGGCUUAGUGAUGGGCAUUUGAGCCAAACUGAUAUAAUCAGAGUGAAUCCUAGUCUUUUGCUGGACAACUGGGACAGUUCCUUUGCUGGACUUGCUAAGAGGAUUGGGUUUGGGCCUGGAGCAUACCACCUUGCCAUCACCGGGAGAGAACCUGUCUUAGAAUGAAGCAGACACAGAGGAAAAGAGAGCUGAGAAAUGAACUUCCACAUCUUCCUGGCAACAUUCCUCCUUUAAAUGUGUUAAUUAUGGAAGCCAAUACAUUACCUGUUAAAGGCAGUUUAAGUAGGGUUUUUUGUUAUUUGCAACCAAAGCAAUCACAACUAAUACUGUAUAGUCCCACAAAGUUUAGCAGAAUACGUGGCACAAAGUAGUUUGCUCAUGAAGGAAUGAUGAAUGAAUUUCAAACAAUGUAGCAACUUGACUGAUGUUAUUUUCUAAACUAUGCAUAUCUGGCUUGAUUGUGUAUUAAAAGAUGAAGGGUAUACUCAAAGUAAGCAUUCCACAGCCUUCUGUUGAUUGAAUGAAUAAAGGAAUGCAUCCAUUGUCAUUAUUUUCUAACCCCAAAUUUGCAUAUUCUUUAGUGAUAUAACCAGGACCAUAUAACCUGGAGAACAUAAGUCUAGAAACAUGAUGGACCAACAGUUACAAAUCAAGUCCAUGGCACACUCACCAUGGGGAAAGCCAUGCAUCAAUUUGAAGGAAUAGGUAGAUCUAUAUGUACUGAUAUGGAAAGACCUCCAAGACACAUUGAGAAGGAAAUUACAAAAUAGUAAUUAUUAUAGUAGGAUUCUGUUUUUGUUUAAAAGUCUCAAUGAAACUUUGAGGGUUUCUAGGUCUUAUAAUGAGUAUAUAAAACAAAGAAAAAUACCCUUUUUUUUUUUUUUCUUUUCUGGAAGGCCAUUCAUGAAAUACAAACAGUGGGCACCUGUGGGGAGGGAGUGGUGUUGGGUGGGUUGGUGACAGAACCUUGUCCUUUAUUUGUAUUGUUUAUUUUUUUUAAUAUACAAGGAUAAAAUAAUUAUGUCAUUUGUAAGUUAAAAUAAUUUAUAAUGAAAAAAUAAUAAAAUAACUCUGACAGAAGGUGGAAUAUUCCCUUUCAACCAAUUUUUCUUCUUUUGAGUUGUCUGUCAGUUUUCUCAGGGAAGCUGAAGAGAGCAGGGUUGCACCCAUCAUGCUGUACCCAGGAUGCUCUGCGGCUCCCGUGAUGCUGUGCCCAUGAUGCCAUGCUGUGCCCUCUAUGCCUUGCCCUGCCGGUAAGGCCAUGCCCUUUCCCUGGGAUUCUGCCAUUCUGGCUGCUCCAGGAGCCAAGGAGAUUUCACCCCAUGUAAAAUACUCCUGGGGUCGCCUACUGACCUGGAUUCUCCUCUCAGUAUCCUUACUUCAACCGUCUCUGCUGCCAAAAUACAUAUGGACCGGAUGAUCUCCCCUGCAAAGGGGAUAGGGAAUCAGAGCAUCUCACCGUCAAGGCAGAGGUCUCGGGGAGACACCCAUCCAAGGUAUGUUUGGGGUGGUUGAUCCAGUCCAAGCCCACUGGUGUGCAGACUGGGAAUUUGAGUGUUAGGUUGGAGAAGAGAUUUGUCCAAAUGUGAGUUCAGUGCCAGAGUGGGACUCCAACCUGACUUCCAGUUCAGGCCUCAUUUUAGGGAGGCUUCCCAAAAGUUCCAUCAUAGCUACUCCUUUAUGUUGAGAUCUUGAGUCUCUGAAAUAUCCCUGCUACAAUGCAUAUUUGUUACUUAA